UCACCCUGGACUAAUCCAUCCACAAAAUCCUGUGGCUGCAGUAGGAGCCCCCUUCCCAGCCCUCCCUGGCUAAGAGAUGGUGGUCCCAGAGGUGCUGAGGACUCCUCCUGGAGCCAGAGUUAUUCCUGCCUUGGGACAUGUAUGAGGAUGGUCUCCUUUGCAGCCUACCUGAAGUGAAUGUGCGCCCGAGAGGCUUCAUGAAAGGUGCCAGGACUACAGACAGGGCAAGGGAGAGCAGGGGCCUGCUGGAGAAACCCAUCCUUCCCUGAGAUCUCUUGGAGGGCUCUCCAUCUCUCUUAGAGCAGUUUCUUUCUUAGACAGUUGAAGCUGCUCAGUG